rnacentral:lncRNA from 1 species
ACUCGGUUACACGGCCUGCGACUCUCAGGGCGAUCUCCACUACAGUACUUGAAAUGGACAGAGCGGUUUGCACCAUCAUGAAGGGGCUGAAUGCAACGCACAGUGCGGAUCUGGUAGCCUGAAUUCCCACAGGUUUUUGUGCAGUAUUCCCACUCAUCUGCUGCCCACAGAGGCCGUGUGCAUUCCUGAAGAUUGCACAUUCUACGAAUGGGCUUUGGCUUUUUGCUGGCUUCACAGAAGCUGCGAUGAACCAUUUUGUUAUCACUUUUCCUGCGGCACCCAUAUUUCGUAUAUUGGAACCCUCCACCACAGGGUUUGGAGCACUGUGACCAACUUUUCAACGCCCACUCAAAAGUAUCUAUUUCCUCCUGUAGGACGUUGUUGCUGUUGAUAGUUGGUACUGAAUCUUCGUGAAUGAUGUAUUUGUAAGUCAGGCUAGAUCUUGUGUCAUUCUCCCGAGGAAUGAUCAGGACAACUACUGCAUCAUGCAAAGGCCCAUCAGUGUGCAGAGUUUCAAUGUCGUCUUCUAUAUUGUAUUCCCAUUCCACACCCAGGUCGAUGAAAGAUCGGGAUCUGGCCUCCUCCCCUUUUCCAUUCAGAAUAUAGUGUCCUGUAGCCUGGUUCUUAAUUGCAAGAAAAUGAGGAGAAGCCUCGUCUUCUUGGAUAAACACAUGUCGAGCACCAGGAGGGAUGUCAAACAUCUUAAGGUACCCAAGCUUUUUGGGAGUGCGGGUAAAGGUUCCUUUCACAGUUCGGCAAUGGGAGUUAUCUCCACCACAGACACCACACUUAUCUUCAGCCUUAUUGGAACCAAUUUCCUUGUCACAACCCACUUUCACACAUUCUCCACGAACACAAAUGCUGUAGGGAUCUUUAUAUGAACAGCGAGUCCCAUCAUGUGCCAAUUGUUUCAUAUAAGCAACAUCUCCUGUUUCUUUGGAUUGGCAGUACAGGUGGCAUCUCUUAUUAGAGUCAGGGUGUUCAUAUGGCAGCCAGUGGUGUUUGCUGUUCUGAUACUCAAAGUGGGAAUUGCGUUGUUGACACUGCUGUGCUCUGAAGUCCUCAAAGUGCUUCGGACACUCUUCAGUAUUGCAGAGUUGAAACUCAAAAUUGACACCAGCACAGUCUUCA